rnacentral:rRNA from 1 species
AUUGAACGCUGGCGGCAGGCUUAACACAUGCAAGUCGAGCGGGGACUUCGGUCCUAGCGGCGAACGGGUGAGGAAUGCUUGGGAAUCUGCCCAGUAGCGGGGGAUAACGUUUCGAAAGGAACGCUAAUACCGCAUACGCCCUACGGGGGAAAGGGGGGGAUCUUCGGACCUCUCACUAUUGGAUGAGCCCAAGUCGGAUUAGCUAGUUGGUGGGGUAAAGGCCUACCAAGGCGACGAUCCGUAGGUGGUCUGAGAGGAUGAUCAGCCACACUGGAACUGAGACACGGUCCGGACUCCUACGGGAGGCAGCAGUGGGGAAUAUUGGACAAUGGGCGAAAGCCUGAUCCAGCCAUGCCGCGUGUGUGAAGAAGGCCUUCGGGUUGUAAAGCACUUUAAGCGAGGAGGAAUGGCUCUUGGUUAAUAACCUUGAGCAGUGACGUUACUCGCAGAAUAAGCACCGGCUAACUCUGUGCCAGCCGCCGCAGUAAUAC